UUUGACUUCCUACCGGGUUGCUGACUUCCGGAGCGAUUUACGCUAUUGUUUUUACCAUUAGCUUAUUAGUUAGCUAACAGUCGUCGAUGCAUUUCUCACUGACAUAAUUUGCAACGCCUACGUUCAAAUUACAGCCCCGUGAAGGACGUGCUAAUAAACAUUGUUCAGUGCCUCUGUGUUCAGGUUCUUCAAAAUGUAAUGGUAUUGUGUGCUUCCGUAGUUUCCCAGUCGAUGUAGAGCUCAGGAAGCGGUGGUUGGUGGCAGAACGUCGUGACAACUUUACUGUCACCAAAUGCGCAAAGGUGUGUAGUACACAUUUCGUCAAGAGUGACUUUGUUGAGGGAAAAAUUGUGGGGCGACAAUACCUAAAAAGAGGUGUUGUUCCUACAGUCUUCGAGUGGAACUGGCACAUUCAAAAGACACCUGGUGUUUGGGAAAGAAGACUGAAACUUCCUGCCCCGACUGAGGAGGAUGAAGAACAAGGUGCGCUGCCUAUGGACUGUGCCGUCUCUUGAUCUGGUUCAGACAUAUGAUUACUGUGCAGUCCCCGAACAUGGCCCUAAUGGCAAACCAUGAGCACAUAAGAGAAAUUGAGGAGCUUCGAGCCAAGCUACAGCGAUUUGCUGGUUCUGACGAGGAUAUACGUUUUUACACAAGACCCUGCCAUCCAUCGACUAGUUCUUCUUGUUUAUUACUCAUCUGUCGCUGGGUCUGAAGCAGAAGGAUUUGGCCCAUCGGUUCAGGAUCCAGCAAUCGACAGUGAGACAGAUUAUCAUCGCUUGAGCCAUCUUCCUCUACUGUCUGCUUGGAUCAGCACGGAAUGGAUCCCCAAGGAAAUAUCAACGUGCAGCUGCCACCUGAGUUCAAGGACUAUCCAGACACCCAGGUAGUGAUCGACUGCACUGAACUCCGCUGCCAGACACCAUCUUCACUGCUACUGCAGAGUGAGGUGUUUUCUUCCUACAAGUCACACUGUACCUUUAAGGGCAUGUUGAGAAUGUCACUACAUGGAGCUGUCACUUUUGUGUCAUCGUUGUAUGCUGGAUCUGUGAGUGACAAGGAGAUAUUCAAGUAGUCUGGAAUUAUUUCCUUACUCACCCCUGACAUCGGCGUUAUGGUGGAAAAGGGCUUUCUAGUAGAUGAUAUUGUUCAGUGCAAGGUCUACCAGCCAGCCUUUCUGUCAAGACACACACAGAUACCAGCGCAUGAGGUUAGGGAGACCCAAUCCAUUGCCAGGCUGAGAGUGCAUGUUGAAUGAAUGAUCCACAGAGUAAAGGAGCAUAAGCUGUUUGACACAGUCAUCCCCCUGACCAUCUCAGGCAGCAUCAACCAAUUAUUUGCAGUGGCGUGCCUGUUGGUCAACUAUCAAAAUGGACCUUGGGUCAGAGCAUAGAUUAAGCCAGUGUAAAUGUACAUGUGUUUAUUUGCUAGCAGCAAAAUAAUAAGUUGUUUAUCUAUGACAUGUAUCAAUAAUUUGUAUUGUAGUGAAUAUCUGUUUGUGUGGAGCUUGUAUUGGAUUUAAUUAGGCAGAGUUUAGGGUUGGGGAAAAUAAAUAAUUUAAACACAGAAUAGCCAGAAUGCAAGAUUGAAUAAAAUAUUAGAGGUGUAAUUGAUUAACUGAACUGUUGAACAUUUGCUGAAAUACAUUUUUUUAAACAAA